CGUGGUAAAAAAUCACUUAAAUCGGACAACAUGUUUAGGAAAUUCAAAACAUCAAAAAUGACCAAAUUUUUAGUGGAUCGAUUUUUUUGCACCGCAGUGUAGAUAAAAGCAUGAACGAAGACAUAUUGGUACAAAUAGAAUCUAAAUACAACUCACCCAAGGUAAAAAUAACCCCAAAAGUGGGAAACCUUUUAAUUACAAUAACUAGGUAGGAAUAAUGUUUUGAAAAUGAACAGAUCAUAAAUUUCACAUAUAAAACAACGAUUGUAAUUUUACAAACUGCUAGGGAUUCCUAAUGUUACCCUAGACCAGUGCUAGUGCUGUUUUGUGACAAAGUAAAGCUAAUAGUAAGUGACAACAGGGUGAAUGUGUGUUCAAACAUAACUUGCAGUGUCUCAUGUGUACCAAACUGUUAUCUACAAGAUACUCAGAGGGAUUUUACUCAUGAGAUAAGUUGACUUUAUAAAUUUCCCUAAUAGAUAUUUUGACGAAAGGGCCUCGAAAACGUGUUAGACCUUGAAGGCAAUGUUAGUUUUAUCGAUAAAGAUGACGUGAAAGAUUACGUCAUCUGUCAAAUGUCAUCUGUUAUAAUUUUUAUAGGUUAGCAACCCCACACCGUGGCCAAAAUAGUUGUAAAGCAGUAUUAUGAUAUAGACUCCUAUGGAAAAUGUUUCAGCUUUACGGUUUACCCGAAAUACAGUAAUCUCUGUAACAUCUAUAGAGGAAUCUUCCAGAAAUGUCACGGAGUUCUCACGACUACCUUUUCGUUAUUCAAAUAUGAAUACCAACAACUAACGUCUAAAGUAUAUACAGGAAAAUUUAAAUUUUAGCUGUCGGGAAAAUGGUACGAUAAAAUAUGAUGCUAAUACAUUCGAUAGAAAGGAUAUUUACUUCUUCGCUGGUAAUAUUCUUCAUUUAAAGCUGUAUUAUGAUGUACGUUGCAGAAGAAAAAGCAGAUGUGAUGUAUUUUUAACUUUCUAAUUAGAUAAAAAUAACUUUUAGACAGACUGACUGAUAUUAAAUUGAUAUGUUUAGGUUUUAUUACUACUUGUGCGAGUUUGCCACGGGAAAGCAAGAAGGGGGAAUCAGAGUGUUGAGAAUUGAGGGACUGAGAAUGGUGAGAAAGAAAUGAUGAAAAUAGAGUAGACAGAUCUCCUUCAUAAAGAGAAAUAUCAAAUGUAAUUCGGUAUUUGUCGUUUACUUCAGUCCCUUUACAUCACAAAAGACGUCUAAGAGCACGAUGGACAGACUACCAAAAGAAGGAAAAACAUUCUGGCACUGUAAAAGAAGAACAGUUGAAUAUGGAGUAGGCCAUAUUCACUAGAUAGACUGUGUGAUGUGUAUUACUGUAAAACGAAUUUGCAUGUUGAUAACAAAAUUACUUAUUCUUCUUUUACAUUAAAGAGAGUAGAAAGUCGGGGAAAAAUUGAGUAAAAUUUAUAUCUUCAGAUAUAUAAAGUGUAAUAUGUGUGAAUAAACGAUGAUAAUGA
rnacentral:lncRNA from 1 species